GGGAAACUGCCUGAUGGAGGGGGAUAACUACUGGAAACGGUAGCUAAUACCGCAUAACGUCGCAAGACCAAAGAGGGGGACCUUCGGGCCUCUUGCCAUCAGAUGUGCCCAGAUGGGAUUAGCUAGUAGGUGGGGUAACGGCUCACCUAGGCGACGAUCCCUAGCUGGUCUGAGAGGAUGACCAGCCACACUGGAACUGAGACACGGUCCAGACUCCUACGGGAGGCAGCAGUGGGGAAUAUUGCACAAUGGGCGCAAGCCUGAUGCAGCCAUGCCGCGUGUAUGAAGAAGGCCUUCGGGUUGUAAAGUACUUUCAGCGGGGAGGAAGGGAGUAAGGUUAAUAACCUUGCUCAUUGACGUUACCCGCAGAAGAAGCACCGGCUAACUCCGUGCCAGCAGCCGCGGUAAUACGGAGGGUGCAAGCGUUAAUCGGAAUUACUGGGCGUAAAGCGCACGCAGGCGGUCUGUCAAGUCGGAUGUGAAAUCCCCGGGCUCAACCUGGGAACUGCAUUCGAAACUGGCAGGCUGGAGUCUUGUAGAGGGGGGUAGAAUUCCAGGU
rnacentral:rRNA from 1 species